rnacentral:lncRNA from 1 species
GGCCUUUGCUCCAGACCCACCUGCACAGGAGGUCCUGGGCUUGGGUCCUCGGCGCCAUGGCAGCAGAGGGUCUCUGGGGGCCUACCAUGAGACUGUCAUGACACCGUGGGGCUCCCCUCAAGGGCCCAGAGCCCCUUCAGGGACAGGCAGCAGCACAGACCCUGGGACCUCGAGCGUGGGUGGUCAGCCGCCUCGGGCCCAGCAGCACGGAGACCCUUGCUCACCCUGCACUCCCACACCUAGAGCAUGGAGAAGGCGCCGGUGCCGUCCGUGACGCUCAUCGUGGGCUGUGGCGUGUCGUCCCUCACCCUGCUCCUGCUGGUCAUCAUCUACGUGUCCGUGUGGAGGUGGGUGCCCACCCCGGGAUGCCUGGCUGGGGGAGGUGGGCCCCGAGCUCCAUCGCCUCCCAGGACCUGUGUCCCGCCUCUCCUCCGCCUGCGGCCCCAGCCGGCCCUCUGCACAGCCCGCCCACACCUGUUUUCUGUUUCUUAUUGCUGUGUCCACAUACGCAAGUGUCCCUGUCCCACUGAAGCCGGGCAGGGUGGACGUGUGGCCACACCUUGCUUCAGCUGGGUCCGCACUACAGAGGUGCCUAUUUCUUCUGACACACUCUGUGGUGGAUGCCCACCCCAAGCCCCACGGCAGGAGCACGUGAAGCACCUGCCCCUUGCCCACCGAGUCCUCUUGGUCACCUAAUACCCCUGUGUGUCCUCACAUGGGACCUGCAAGGCCAUAGCUCCUAGGACCACAGCCUGGGACCAGGCUCAGGGCCCAGAACCUCUCCUGCUGCCCUGCCCCACGCUCCUUCCCUCGAGGCCACAGGGGCUCAGCACAAGAACCCCAGGCCUGCGAUGGGCCCCGUCUGUCCACCCCAUACACACCAGGGGGUGUGCACGCAGGGGUGGGGCCAUGGCGGAUGCAGGCUUGGGUCAGAGCAUGGGGCUGGGUAGUCACAGCGGUGUGUCCUUAACUGAAGGUCUGUGACCAGGUGGCUGAGUGGCCAGUCUCCCUACCGUCUAAAUCUAGGCCUCCCUGGUCCCCACCCAUCAAGUAGUUUACAGCAAGAAGGGUGAGCUCAAGGUCGCUGGCGAGGCGGCCACCCAGGAUGUCCAGAGGGUGUGCGGCCCCCGCGCCUGGCCCCUUCUGCUCUUCAGGCAGCAAGUUGUCAGCCAGUAAUUGGGACUGAUGGCCUGGCCACCGCCUGGGGUCAGGCAGUAAGAGGUCAGUGCGGGCUGGGUGGGGAGGGAGACAGGCGCUCUCCUGGUGACUGGGUCGCCAUUAGCAGCAGGCACCCUCCGCUAUCCUGCCCCAGAGCAGAGCGUCCUCUGCUCCUCUCCUGGGGUCUGCAGGGAGCCACGGCAUCCGUGUCCCCAUAGCUCUUCCCCUGGGAACUGGGGCCCCCAGAAGUUUGGGGUUAGGGCUGGGGGGCCCCGAGCUCCAGGUCUGGCUCACAGAGCUUUUGCUCCUGAGGUUGUCAGAGCACCUUCCUCAGAGCCCUACUGACUGUCCCAGCGCCCCUGUCAGCUGCAGGCAGGGACAGUUCUGAUGGGUCCAUGAGGAAUCGGGAUCCAGAGAGGGAUAGGAAAUACCCAAGGUCACACAGCACUUCAGAGCUAUGUCAGGGCCCCCAAAGCUCAGCCAUGUACCUUCUGCUCUGCACCUGGGUGGAUCUAGGUACCAAGGGCUAGUGGUGAUGAUGGUAGUGAUGAUGGCCAUGUAAUUACGGUGUUGGUGGUGACGUGAUGGUGGUGGUGAUAGUGGUAAUGGUGGAUGGUGUUGGUAGUGAUGGUGGUACUGAUGGUGGUGGUGGUGGUGAUGAUGGCGUUGAUAUGGUGGUUGUGGUGGUGACGGUGAUGGUGGUGGUGAUAGUGAUAAUGGUGAUGUGAUGGUGUUGGUAGUGAUGAUGGCACUGAUGGUGGUGGUGAUAAUGGUGUUGAUGUGAUGGUGGUGAUGGUGAUUAUGGUGCUGGUGGUUGUAGAGUUGGUAGUUGUGGUGGCAGUGAUGGUUGUUGUGGUGAUAGUGAUGGUGAUGGUGAUGGUGGUGUUGGUGGUUAUAGGGGUAGUGUGGUGAUGGUGGUGUAAUGGUGAUACGGUCAUGGUGGUAGUGAUGAUUGUUGUGAUGGUGAUUUUAAUGGUGAUAGUGAUAGUGGUAGUUGUGAUACGGGUGCUGAUGGUGGUGGUGAUGGUUGUGGUGGUAGUGGUGGUGAUGAUGGUGGUACUGAUCCUGAUGGUGGUGGUCAUGGUGGUGGAGAUACUGGUGCUGGUGAUGGUGGUGGUGAGGUUUGUGGUGGUGACAGUGAUGGUGGUGGUGGUGGUGGGAGUGGUGAGAUUGUGAUAAUGAUGGUGGGGAUGGUUGUGGUGGUGGUGACAGUGAUGGUGGUGGUACUAAUGGUGUGAUGGCGGUAGUUGUGGUGUUAUUGAAGUAGUGAGGGGAAUAGUGGUGGUGAUGGUGACCGUGACUGCGUGGAGGAGGUAGGUAGGGCCCUGGUCUUGGGGUAAGGACCCUAGCUCUUGUGAAGAGAAGGCUAACCUCAGGCCCCAUAUUCUCCCACAGGUAUAUCCGCUCAGAGCGGUCAGUCAUCCUCAUCAACUUCUGUCUGUCCAUCAUCUCUUCCAAUGCCCUCAUCCUCAUUGGGCAGACACAGACCCGCAACAAGGUAGGUGGCCUUGUGCCGUCAUGUGCAUGUCCCAGUGUCUUCCAGUGUCUUCGGGUGGGGUGGGUUGGUCCCGCAGCAGGGGCCUCCUCCAGCCAGCAGUGAGUCUGGAAGCUCACAGUGGGGAUGCUGAUUUGCCCUUCCUCAGUGCCCCGUCCUGCUGCCCCCUCCCACUAAACAUGGCAGGCUCAGACCUCAGGUGGGAGCCUCUUCUUCCUCAAGGGGCCACCCCAACCUGUAGGGGACAGAGGCAUUGCAUGAGUGGGCUCCUGGGCUGGCGUCUGGUAGAAGCCGGGAGGAGGGGUCUGUCCCUGGCAGUCACCCACCCUCAGCCUUAGGUUUCAGCGCCCAUCUCGGCAGGGACUGGGUCACCCCUCAGCUGCUUCCUGCCUGGGGACUUGGCCUGGUCACAGCUGGGGACGCUGGGUGCUGGGGGCACUGGCACCAGGGGCGGCGAGCGCCUGCCCAGCCCUGCCCGCCCUGCCUGCCCCCAGGUGGUGUGCACGCUGGUGGCGGCCUUCCUGCACUUCUUCUUCCUCUCCUCCUUCUGCUGGGUGCUCACCGAGGCCUGGCAGUCCUACAUGGCGGUCACCGGCCGCCUGCGGAACCGGCUCAUCCGCAAGCGCUUCCUCUGCCUGGGCUGGGGUGAGCGUCCACAGGGCGGGCCUCCGCGGGUGUUGGCCAGCGGGUGGGCUGCCCUCUCUGAGCCUCCUCCACCCUCCGUCCUAGCCCCUGCUCUCCUUCCUGUCCUGCGGCCCUCUCCACCCGCCCUCCCCUUGUGAGUCUUCCUGAGCCCUGGGGCUCCUCCCUCUUUGCCGGGUCCAUUCAGAUGGCCCAGUUCAAGGUGACCUUCAGAGAGCAAGCAGCUCUUCAGCAGGAGUGUUCUGAGCAGUACUUAGAACAGGCUUACAUGAAACACGCCUCCUGGCUCCGUGAGACCCAGGUGUGCCUGGCCGUCCUGUCCCCCAGCCCUCUCCUUCAGCGACCUCCUGUCCACCCCUCACACACUGUCCUCUGGGGUUUGAGACAUGUCCCUGCUGCGCCCUCGGCAGGGCUCAGCAUGGCCAACCGGCUCUUCUGUCCUUCUGCAGGGCUCCCUGCGCUGGUGGUGGCCAUUUCUGUGGGAUUCACCAAGGCCAGAGGGUACAGCACGAUGAACUAGUGAGUCAGGGGGGUGGGGGCAUGGUGACACCACCCGGAUCCCUGACUUUUGACCAUCCGGGAGGGUGAGGGCUGCCAUGCCCUCUGCCCUGUCUGGCCGGGUGCUGUCCCAGGGAGACUGGGAGGGCGGGCCCUGGGUGGAAGCUGAGCCUUCAGGCAGGCCCUGGCUUCUGCCCAGGUGUGGGCAGGGGGUUGAGAGAAAUGGGCGGGGCCAGCAGACCCUCAGGUGCACCUUCUUGUUGGGGCAUAGUCCCCUGGCCUCGGCACCCUCCACAGGUGUUGAGCCCACGGACAGCUCAGCAGGUUCCCUCCCAUGAGCCUUUGGGGCAAGGCGGGGGCAGGGUCCACUUCACAGAUGAAGUCUCUGAGGACCUUUUAAAGGGUCGUCUGGGCCAGGUCCUGGGAGCCUUAAAUGCUGAGCUGGGACACUUGGGGCUUAUCUUAAAGGCAAUAUGGGGUCCCCUGGUGGGGAAGAGGGCCUGGGCUCAGGAGGGGAGUUGGGGUGGGCAGAGUGGGGCAGGGUUGCGGGGUGGGGCAGGUGGGGAGCGAGGUCCCCUGGGCAGGUGGGCGUGGCUCUGUGGGGCCCAGGGGCGCAGCGGCAGCAUGCUGGGGAGCCCUGAGCGGGCUGCGCAGGGGGUCAGGCUUCGGUGCAGAUGGCUUGGAGCCCAGCGGGGUGAGUGCCGGGCGGGAAAUGUGGCCUGCCCCAGAGAUGAGAGGAGGAGCAAGGGGGGGAAGCCGCGGUUGGUUUUCAAGGGUGAGGAUGAGUGUGCUCCGUGGACACUCCCGGCCACAGGGGAUGCCCUGUAGCACCCCAGUGUCCCACAGGGAUGGUUCUGUGGGCACCUGGUGGUUUCCAGUGAGGGCGGUGUGGGGCUGAUAAGUGGGAAGGGCCAGGCCAGGUGCGUCGUCCAGAGCAGAAGGACCUUGGUCUUGCUGGCCUGGACCCUGCCGUGUGGUUCUGAGCAGGCGUGUCCCCUGUGCUGGGCCUUCUUCCAUCUGAAGCAGGGAUGACAUUGGCCCUCUGGGGCUCCUGGGGAUCGCAAAGCCAAGUGUGUGAAGUGCCCUGUAUGCAGGAGGUGCUCACUAGGCGCUGCUCCUGUCGUCCUAGAGGGCGGGGGUCCUCACAGCCUCUCUCCCUGCAGCUGCUGGCUCUCCCUGGAGGGGGGACUUCUGUACGCCUU